AGAACUGUAGGUCAGUGGUAGAGUGUCUGCUUUGCAUGCGGAAGACUUAGGGUUCAAACCCUCGCAGUUCCA
rnacentral:tRNA from 1 species